UGAGUGCGAGCUUCUACGGAAGCGAAGUUGGUGACGUCAAGCUUCCAAGAAAAGCCCUAUACCCGUUAAGGCAUGAUUACCUGUACCCGAAACCGACACAGGUGGGGUGGUAGAGAAUACCGAGGGGCGCGAGGUAACUCUCUCUAAGGAACUCGGCAAAAUGACCCCGUAACUUCGGGAGAAGGGGUGCCAGCGCGAGCUGGUCGCAGUGAAUAGGCCCAGGCGACUGUUUACCAAAAACACAGGUCUCCGCUAAGUCGCAAGACGAUGUAUGGGGGCUGACGCCUGCCCAGUGCCGGAAGGUUAAAGAAGUUGGCCAGCGCAAGCGAAGCUAACGACUGAAGCCCCGGUGAACGGCGGCCGUAACGAUAACGGUCCUAAGGUAGCGAAAUUCCUUGUCGGGUAAGUUCCGACCCGCACGAAAGGCGUAACGAUCUGGGCGCUGUCUCGGAGAGAGGCUCGGCGAAAUAGAAUUGUCUGUGAAGAUGCGGACUACGUGCACCCGGACAGAAAGACCCUAUGAAGCUUUACUGUAGCUUGGUAUUGUGCUCGGGCUCGCAAUGCGCAGGAUAGGUGGGAGGCUUUGAUCCAUUGCUUGUGGGUGAUGGUGAGCCACUGGUGAGAUACCACUCUUUGCGAGCUAGGGUUCUAACGGUUACCCGUCAUCCGGGAACCGGACAGUAUCUGGUGGGCAGUUUGACUGGGGCGGUCGCCUCCUAAAAGGUAACGGAGGCGCGCAAAGGUUUGCUCAGGCUGGUUGGAAAUCAGCCGACGAGCGUAAAAGCAGAAGCAAGCUUGACUGUGUGACCUACAAGUCGAACAGGGAGGAAACUCGGCUUUAGUGAUCCGACGGUUCUGAGUGGAAGGGCCGUCGCUCAACGGAUAAAAGUUACUCUAAGGAUAACAGGCUGAUCUCCCCCAAGAGUUCACAUCGACGGGGAGGUUUGGCACCUCGAUGUCGGCUCAUCGCAACCUGGGGCUGAAGUCGGUCCCAAGGGUUGGGCUGUUCGCCCAUUAAAGCGGUACGCGAGCUGGGUUCAGAACGUCGUGAGACAGUUCGGUCCAUAUCCGGUGCAUGCGCAGGAAUAUUGAGAGGAUUUCUCCCUAGUACGAGAGGACCGGGAGGAACGCACCUCUGGUGUACCAGUUAUCGUGCCAACGGUAAACGCUGGGUAGCCAUGUGCGGAGUGGAUAACCGCUGAAAGCAUCUAAGUGGGAAGCCCACCUCAAG
rnacentral:rRNA from 1 species